rnacentral:rRNA from 1 species
GAUGCCUACGGGACGGCAGCAGUGGGGAAUAUUGCACAAUGGGGGGAACCCUGAUGCAGCGACGCCGCGUGAGCGAUGAAGUAUUUCGGUAUGUAAAGCUCUAUCAGCAGGGAAGAAAAUGACGGUACCUGACUAAGAAGCCCCGGCUAACUACGUGCCAGCAGCCGCGGUAAUACGUAGGUGGCACGCGUUGUCCGGAUUUACUGGGUGUAAAGGGCGUGUAGCCGGGCUGGCAAGUCAGAUGUGAAAUCCGGGGGCUCAACCCCUGACCUGCAU